GAGCAUCGCAGCGUAGCUAAGUUUGGAAAGGAUAAACGCUGAAAGCAUCUAAGCGUGAAGCCAACUCUAAGAUGAAUCUUCUCUAAGCUCUCUAGAAGACUACUAGUUUGAUAGGCUGGGUGUGUAAUGGAUGAAAGUCCUUUAGCUGACCAGUACUAAUAGAGCGUUUGGCUUAUCUUUAAUAAAGCAU
rnacentral:rRNA from 2 species